CGCGUAGGUGGUAGUGUAAGUCUGAGGUGGAAUCCCAGGGCUUAACCCUGGAACUGCCUUGGAAACUGCAUUACUUGAGUCAGUGAGGGGAGGGUAGAAUUCCUGGUGUAGCGGUGAAAUGCGUAGAUAUCAGGAGGAAGGCCUGUGGCGAAGGCGGCCCUCUGGUGCUGGACUGACACUGAGGCGCGAAAGCGUGGGAGCAAACAGGAUUAGAUACCCUGGUAGUCCACGCCCUAAACGGUGGGCACUAGGUGUAGGGCUCGUAAGGUUCUGUGCCGAAGGGAAACCAUUAAGUGCCCGCCUGGGGAGUACGGUCGCAAGGUUGAA
rnacentral:rRNA from 1 species